UAGCCCAGGGUUGCCUUGAUGAUCCCAACUUUGACUCCUCAGGUGAUGGGAUUUCCAGCAUGUACUACCAAUCUCGGCACAGUUUUUCUCUUCUUAAUGCACUGGCAAACUUUUUAUGGUGCCCACACCAUUCUAGUAACAACAUGAAGGAUUCCAGUUCUCCAACCCCCUUAUUUUCUCCAACAAUUGUUAGUUUCCAUUAUUUUAUAAUGGCCAUCCCAGUGGUGUGGGAUAGAUUAAAUUUGCACACACACACACACACACACACACACACACACACACCCCAAAAGCUAAAAAUACCAACCAUCUUGUCCUGUGCUUAUUGGCCAUUCAUGUAUUUUUCUUGAGAGAAAUUUUUUUCAAGUCUUUUGCUGAUUUCUGGGUUGAUCAUUUGGUAUUUUGCCGUGGUGCUCUAAGAAUGAUCUGUAUAUUUCAGGCAUUAUCACAUAUACUGUUUGCAUGUUCCUUCAGGGCUUUUGGGGCUUACGCCUGGAGCUUGACUUCCUUCUGAGGAGAGGCAGGCAACAGGCGUCUGCAAGUGAGACAUAAGUUCAAAUGUGAUCACUGGUGGGAUGGGAAACCUGAGGAGAUGGAGUGAAAUCCUGUGGGGACGAUGUGGAGGGAACUCCAGUGAGGGCAGUCAGGUGGCUGGGUGACAUUCCCAACCCAGACAUCGUAACUAGACAAGGUUAAGAGAUUGGCUAAAACUUAAAAGGGAUGGUGGGUCUGGGUAUGGUGACCCUGCACCCAGCACUUGGGAAGCAGGGGCAGAAGCAU
rnacentral:lncRNA from 1 species